rnacentral:rRNA from 1 species
UGGGGAAUCUUGCACAAUGGGGGCAACCCUGAUGCAGCGACGCCGCGUGAGCGAUGAAGCCCUUCGGGGCGUAAAGCUCUUUCGACCGGAACGAUAAUGACGGUACCGGGAGAAGAAGCUGCGGCUAACUACGUGCCAGCAGCCGCGGUAAUAUGUAGGCAGCAAGCGUUGUUCGGAGUUACUGGGCGUAAAGAGUGCGUAGGCGGUUUUCUAAGUUCGGUGUGAAAUCUCCCGGCUUAACUGGGAGGGUGCGCCGAAGACUGGGAAGCUGGAGUGUGGGAAAGGCAGGCGGAAUUCCUGGUGUAGCGGUGAAAUGCGUAGAUAUCAGGAGGAACACCGGCGGUGUAGACGGCUUGCUAGACCAUAACUGACGCUGAGGCACGAAAGCGUGGGUAGCAAACA